UUGAGUAACACAAACAUUAGUGAGAACCCAAUUCCAUGAAAACCUAAGGGUUCCUCUGCAAGGGUUGUCCACGGUGGAUAAGUCAGGGCCUAAGAUCAGGUCGAAAGGCGUAGUCGAUGGACAACAGGUAAAUAUUCUUGUACUACCCCUUGUUGGUCCCGAGGGACAGAGGAGGCUAGGUUAGCCGAAAGAUGGUUAUCAGUUCAAGAACGUAAGGUGUCCUUGCCUUUUUUUCAUUGUAAGAAGGGGUAGAGAAAAUACCUUGAGCCAAUGUUCGAAUACUAGCCGCUAUGGCACAGAAGUAACCCACGGCAUACUCCCAAGAAAAGCUCGAAUGACUUUGGACAAGAGGGUACUUGUACCCAAAACUGACACAGGUGGGUAGGCAGAAAAUACCUAGGGGCGCGGGACAACUCACUUUAAGAAACUCAGUAAAAUAGCCCCAUACCUUCAGGAGAAGGGGUGCCUCCUCACAAAGGGGGUCAUAGUGACCAAGCCCGGGCGAUUGUUUACCAAAAGCACAAAUCUCCACAAAGUCAUAAUACCAUAUAUGGGGGAUGACGUAUGCCCUAUGCCGAAAGGUCAAGAAAGUUGGCAACCUGAUGAUAGGGGAGCCAAUGAUUGAAGCUCUAGUGAACAACGAUCGUAACUAUAACAGUCCAAAGUUAGCAAAAUUUCUUAUCGGGUAAGUUUUGACCCACACGAAAUGCGUAAUGAUCUGGGAACUAUCUUAGAGAGAGGCUCGGUGAAAUA
rnacentral:ncRNA from 1 species